rnacentral:rRNA from 1 species
GACGAACGCUGGCGGCGUGCUUAACACAUGCAAGUCGAACGAUGAAGCCCAGCUUGCUGGGUGGAAGAGUGGCGAACGGGUGAGUAACACGUGAGUAACCUGCCCCUGACUCUGGGAUAAGCGCUAGAAAUGGCGUCUAAUUCUGGAUAUGACCUAUCACCGCAUGGUGUGUAGGUGGAAAGAUUUAUCGGUUGGGGAUGGACUCGCGGCCUAUCAGCUUGUUGGUGAGGUAAUGGCUCACCAAGGCGACGACGGGUAGCCGGCCUGAGAGGGUGACCGGCCACACUGGGACUGAGACACGGCCCAGACUCCUACGGGAGGCAGCAGUGGGGAAUAUUGCACAAUGGGCGCAAGCCUGAUGCAGCAACGCCGCGUGAGGGAUGACGGCCUUCGGGUUGUAAACCUCUUUUAGUAGGGAAGAAGCGCAAGUGACGGUACCUGCAGAAAAAGCACCGGCUAACUACGUGCCAGCCGCCGCAGUAA